GAUGAACGCUGGCGGCGUGCUUAACACAUGCAAGUCGAACGGGAAUUUCUUUAUUGAAACUUCGGUCGAUUUCAUUUAAUUCUAGUGGCGGACGGGUGAGUAACGCGUGGGUAACCUGCCUUAUACAGGGGGAUAACAGUCAGAAAUGGCUGCUAAUACCGCAUAAGCGCACAGAGCUGCAUGGCCCGGUGUGAAAAACUCCGGUGAGAUAAGAUGGACCCGCGUUGGAUUAGCUUGUUGGUGGGGUAACGGCCCACCAAGGCGACAAUACAUAGCCUGCCUGAGAGGGAGAGCGGCCACAUUGGGACUGAGACACGGCCGAGACUCCUACGGGAUGCAGCAGUGGGGAAUAUUGCACAAUGGGGGAAACGCUGAUGCAGCGACGCUGCGUGAAGGAAGAAGUAUCUCGGUAUGUAAACUUCUAUCAGCAGGGAAGAUAGUGACGGUACCUGACUAAGAAGCCCCGGCUAACUACGUG
rnacentral:rRNA from 1 species